GGCGGCCUGCGUGGGUUUAUAUACUCGGCGGGGAGACGCAACGCGCAUUUCCUUCAUGAGAGCCAAUCAAAACGCGCGGUGAGGGCGGUUUUGACCAAUAAGAGAGAGGCGUGGGAGGAUCAUAGAGAUGAGGAGAGGCCGCGUUGGGCGCCGCCAUUUUGUCCUGAGGGAGGGGCAGGAGGGCCGAGUCCUCCAAGGGGGAGCGGGUGGAUUUUGGGGGGAAUUUGGGGGAUUUUGGGGCGAUUUUUGGGGACACUGAGGGCUCGUGGAGCUGUGCAGGUGCGUCCCUGCGUGUCACUGGGGUGUGGCUCCGUGUUGUCCCCUCAAUAUCCCCAAAAAACCCGCCCAAAAUUGCCCCAAAUCCCCUCAAAACUCUCCACACACUCCCAUAAAGGCACCGAAAAUCCCAUCCAAUAUCCAAAAUUUUUUAAAAAUCCCCUCAAAUCCCCCCAAAAAAACCGAAAACCCCAAAUCUCCCGCUCAAAAUCGCCGCAAAACCCAUUAAAUCCCCUCACACCCCCCAGUAUCCCCAAAAUCCCCCCUGGAGAUCCCAAAAUCCCCCAAAAUUCCCCUCAAGGCCCCAAAACUCAAAACCCCCCAAAUCUCCCACCCAAAAUCCCCUCAAACCCCCCAAAAAAAACCCUAAAAACCCCAAACCCCCCAAAUCUCCCACCCAAAAUCCCCUCAAACCCCCCAAAAAACCCCCAAAACCCUCAAAUCUCCCACCCAAACUCCCUCAAAUCCCCUCACACCCCAAAAAUCCCCAAAAUCCCCCAAAAUUCCCCUCAAACCACCCAAAAAAUCCCAACUCCCACCCAAAUUUCCCCACCCAAAAUCCCCUCAAACCCCCCCAAAAAAACCCCUAAAAACCCCAAAACCCCCCAAAUCUUCCACCCAAAAUCGCCUCAAACGCCCCCAAAACCCCCAAAUCUCCCACCCAAACUCCCUAAAAUCCCCUCACACCCCAAAAAUCCCCCAAACCCCCCAAAAAUCCCCCCAAAAUUC
rnacentral:lncRNA from 1 species